rnacentral:rRNA from 1 species
GCUUACGGCCACACCGCCUGGUUCACGUCCGAUCUCGUUUGAUCUCGGAAGCUAAAAUAGGUUGGGCCUGGUUAGUACUUGCAAGGGAGACUGCCUGGGAAUACCAGGUGCUGUAAGCU